rnacentral:rRNA from 1 species
GGGGAAUAUUGGACAAUGGGGGAAACCCUGAUCCAGCAAUGCCGCGUGAGUGAAGAAGGCCUUAGGGUUGUAAAGCUCUUUCGCCCGCGAAGAUAAUGACGGUAGCGGGAGAAGAAGCCCCGGCUAACUACGUGCCAGCAGCCGCGGUAAUACGUAGGGGGCAAGCGUUGUCCGGAUUUACUGGGUGUAAAGGGCGCGCAGGCGGGAUAAAAAGUCAGUGGUGAAAUCCUACAGCUUAACUGUAGAACUGCCUUUGAUACUUUUAUUCUUGAGUUCGGGAGAGAGAGACGGAAUUCCAGGUGUAGUGGUGAAAUACGUAGAUAUCUGGAAGAACACCAGUUGCGAAGGCGGUCUCUUGGUCCGACACUGACGCUGAGGCGCGAAAGCGUGGGGAGCAAA